GGGUUGUUUGUCAAAUAUUUAUAUUUACUUUUCACAGAUGUGGCUUGGGCUGUGGAGCAUCACUCCAUUUCCACUGUCUGUACUGAGCAACUACAGUUUUAAGAAGUGAUGAUUUUGAAAAUCAUUCACAUGUUUGUAAACAUAAACAGCAUCCCACUUCAGCUAAAAUGCCACCAGUGUAACAGUGCCCACGCCAGCGGUCAGAGGCACACCAUCAACCACCAGUGCAACAGUGCCCACGACAAUGGUUAGAGACACGCCAUCAACCACCAGUGCAACAGUGCCCACGACAAUGGUUAGAGACACAUCAUCAACCACCAGUGCAACAGUGCCCAUGCCAGUGGUUAGAGACACACCAUCAACCACCAGUGCAACACUGCCCAAGCCAGUGGUCAGAGACACACCACCAACCACCAAUGCAACAGUGCCCAAGUCAGCGGUCAGAGAUACACCAUCAACCACCAGUGCAACAGUGAAUGCAUCAGUAGUUAGACUGUGGGGUUUUCAUGAUGAUGUAUGCUCUGCACAUUGACUUGGGUGCACCCUUUGAUUUUACCUCUACCACACUAGCCACCCCCUGAAAGACGAUUCUAAAUCAACCAAAAAUGUAUGUUUCUGGACAGAAGCCUUUGUUCAGGAGUCACUUCCAAAAGGAGAACAAGGCACUUCCAGCAGCAAUUAGGAGCUACCGAUAAUUAAAAACCUCAAAACAGUUGUGAAAUGGCUGCAUGGAAGUGAACAGCAGCUCAGGGGCACAGGUGCAGAGGACAAGAAAAGGGUCAUCCGCAAUCUUUUUGAAGAACCAGAACUUUCCAGAGAGACCUUCACAUUUAAUUUUCUUUUUAGGGAUGACAUGGA